rnacentral:lncRNA from 1 species
UGCAAAAAUGCAUCCCUAACCCUAACAUGGGGGCUACUGAAAUAUAAAUAAAUCAGAUAAGGUAAUAGAGUUUAGUAAUCAGAUAUGAAUUACUGAGAUUGGCCUCAAAAUACAGAAAAACGAAAAAAAAAAAACAAAAACAAAAUCAAAAGCAAAAUGUUUUCGAACUUCCAUGUUGAGCACAAAUAGAUAGGACUUGUCCUCAUUUAAGAACCUAAAGGUCUUUAGAUCUAAAAAACAGACAUUGGAUGACAAUUCAAAAUCCAUGGAACAAAAACAAAUUGAAAUACAAAUUGUAAAGCGCAAUAGGAAGAGUCGAUGCAUGAUUGAAACUUAGUUGCUUCUGCCAAUGAUUAAAAGCUUCCAUGCAACAAAUUCAUAUCCUUGAAACUUACUUUUCAGGAAGUCUAAGAGCAGGGUAAAGCUCACGUAAAGCCUGCACAAUUUCUGAACAUGGCAUAGGUCUCUCAACUAAAAGGUAUCUUCCACAAGCUGAAGAAUUCUCAUAUGCUAGUAUAUGUGCGUUUGCAACAUCUCUAACGUCUAUCAAUCUGUAAUUUGUAUUUGGAAAUGUUUCAGCCCCUGCAUCAAAUAAAGGCAAUGUUCAGGAGGAAGAGUUAGGCAGGCUUGUCAGCAGAAACCGGGGAAUAUUAGAGAUUCAGUUAAGUGUUAUCAAUGAAUUGUAUCUGAAGUGAUUACUUUAUAUUUGCAAACAAAACUGCUCAAUAAGAGAAUUAUUCAAGUAUGCUACUUUUUCUUUCUUAAAGUCUUUUUUAUUCUCCUGUAACAAGUAGUCACCAUUUCUAUUGAACACAUAGAAAAUUACAGACCCAAGCAAAGAGACAUACAACUUUAGUUAUUGCAAAAAUGAAAAAAUAAAUGGCAAUGGAGCAGAAUGACAAAGCAUUUUCAACACCAUUAAUUAAAGAAGGUUUUGAACAAGAAAAUAUAACCACUUUGACUAUUGUUACUCAAACAGUCUGAACCCUGAAUUUACACAAAUUUGGCAAGCGCGUAAAUCGUUUGCAAUUUGCCACCUCUUCCUCAGUUUCAUCCAAAUCACCUUUAAAACUCAAACUUUUAAGAAACAAUAAGUGAAUAACCCUUCAUGUAUUGAUGGCUUCACAAUUCCCAUUAUCUGAUAUACAUUUUUUGUGGCACUGCUAAGAAACAUGCUUAGUUCAUACUAUAAGUGUCAGCAGUGUGAAAUGAUCUAUGAACACGCCCUUUUUGUUCAAACUUUAGAAAUUCAUCUUAGACUUAGAACAUUGUUGACUCAAUAUUUCUUUUUUAAAAACAGUUCUUCUUGCAGCUUAUUUUUGAGAUCAUUUAUGCAGUUUUUUCUUGCAUUAAUGUUUGAGUGCUGCUUUUUGGCAUGAAAACAAGAAAUAGUUAAAGCAAAAAGGUAAGCAAGAGAAAUAAAAUCUUAAUUCAGAAUGCAAUAUUCUCUUCUAAGGUCACUUUAUCAGCAAUAAUUGUUAAAAGAACAAUAUCCUGUCUGCUAAAGCUAGUUGGAGAGUACCAUUUAUAAGCUUCAAUAUUGGCUCCACACUUGCAUUAAUGGUCGGCUGUAAAAGAGGUCCAAUCACCAAUCCUGGGUUUACUGUAACCAUGUCAAUUCCAUUAUCUUUUGCAUACUUCCAAGCAGCCUCCUCAGCUAACGUCUUAGAAAGCAUAUACCAAAGCUGAUGACAAACAAAAGAAAAAAAUGAUAUACAAAAGAUUAUGUCAUGCCUGAACAUUGUCCUUUCUGCAGCAAUAAGGAAGAAAUUGAGCAAGUAAUUCUUUUGUUAAAAGAAGAAUGAAAUUAAGCAUCAUAUCACAAUCUUUAACCCUCAAUUCCCCCAGAAUGAAAAUCAUAAUAGAAGCAGGACAGGAAAAAGGAGCUAAUAAUCAAAGGGUUGCAGUUAGACCAGAAGAAUAAAAUAAUUCUUUAAUGCAUACAAAGGAAAAAAUACGGUCAAGAUAUUUGAAUUUAAGCAUUUCAAUAAUGAUGCUUGCUUUCAGGCUUUGCCAAUUUUCAGAUCCAGACACAGAUAAUAAACAGUAAAGUUCCUAAAACCUAGCAAGCAUAAGUCAGACAUCUUGCACUAGGAACCCUGAACUAAUAAACCUACUACUUUAUAGAAAGACAAUUGAUGAGCCAGUGGAUAAAAGGCAAGGAAUAAAAAAGAACAAAAGGAAAUGUGUACGUAUGAUUUCAAAAAAAUACAAGACUAGAUCCAAGCUCUUGUUUAAAUAAGCAGCAUCACAUUAUUUGGUAAUUUAAUAAAAUAAUACACUUAAAGCUCCUCAUCUUUCAAAUAGAGAUGUAUGUAAUACAAGUUACUACAUUUGCAUACCUUUGAUUUCUCACAAAAAGUGGGAUCAGAGAACCAAGUCUCAUCAACUUUAACAUCAGGGCCCAGAGGCCUUCCAUUAUACACAACAGCUGCAACUGAGGAUGUUAUAACCACCCGUUUAAUAGAUGGAACUUUAGCACAUGACCUAAGAACAUUAAGUGUUCCCUUUACAGCUGGGUCAAUCAUUUCAGCCUGUCACAGAAGUGCCAGAGAAUGCAUCAAUUAUCAGGAUUCUAUUGCACCAUUAAGUAAUUGAAAAUAUGAGCAUCAAAUCUACACGAGCCAAUCAGAACCAAAAUCCAGACAAUAAACGUGUUUGUUUCUUUUCCCAUUCGCAACUUGAUUCAAAAGGCAAGUAAGAUAUGGCUACUGCUUACAGCAAAGAUUUUCAAGAAAAAACAGAGCAAGAUUAAAAGAUUAACAGUUAGUAUAGAUUACAAAUAAGAAAUUCAGAGAACAUAAAUGAGCCUAAAAGCCACAACUUUUAGAAAAGGGUUGUCGGAUACAAGAAUAAACUUGCAGGAGAAACAAUAUUGAACUAUAUAGCAAAUGAGCCGAUUUAAUUACUACCGUUCAUCUGCAAGGACAUUUAAAAACUGCACACAGCCUUUUCAUCGACAUCCAAAAAAAAUCAGCAACCACUUAAAGAUUUAAAAUGUUAAUACUUAAGUGCAAAUAUAUAUAUACACACACUAGACAUGAAAAUAUGCAAUGAGAGAGAAAGAAAAGUACCUGAGGAUCCUUGAUAUUGUGAUAAAAAGGAGAUGCUGUGUGGAAAACUCCUACACAUCCAUCAACUACUGAAUCAAAAGCUCCCUCAUCCAGAAGCUCUGCCUUGAACAAAUGAAGCCUUUCCUUUGCUCCAUCAAGCGCAAGUAAGUGCUCUGUUUUCUUUGGAUCACCUAGAAAUAAGUGUAUGAAACAGUUACUUACAUGGGAAGAUGUAUCUAUCUUGUAACUAGAUUGUAUUAUUCAUCAAUUGCAAAAACUGCUGAUUUACAUAUCCUUCAUAGAGUUCAGCAAUCUACUGAACCUAAAAUCAAAUAUAUAAUAUAUUAGCUGAACCAUGGGUGAUCAAUAAACGAUACUAAUAAAUAGAAUUGCAUUUCAACACAAAGACAUCAAAGAAAGAAUAUGGCAAUACCAAGACAUUACAGACAAAAAAGAAAUUGGGGAAGGGGGAACAGCAUGAAAAUUUUCAGAAGGCCGAUGAUUAAACAUAUCUAAAAGGGACCGAUACACAGAAAGAUCAAUAAUUUUCUUCAAACAAAUAGAGAAAGGCCACUUCUCAAGAAUUAUAAGCAACAGAAGGUUUCUUCAUCCAUAAUUAUAACAACCCAGAUACAUUGCAACAUAGAAAGCCAAAAACUCAUAGUUUUUCACUUCCUUCAUCGAUCAUAAUCACUUUAGAAGAAAAAUCAAAUUUGGGAAAUAAAGUAUCCUAUGAAGUCAAGACAAAGUAAUAUUUGCGAUCAGAUUGUCCAUAACUACUAAAAAGCCUGAAGUUCACAGCUUUCACUUCUUUAACUGCUCAAAAGUCACUUAAAAAUAAAAACAAAUCGAAGCCUAGGCAGCAAAGUAUCCCAUUAAGCCAAGAACCUUAACAUCAAAAACAAACAACUUUAAUGACAAGAAGAAAAUUAUUCAUAAAUUUAAGAUAUACCCAAGAAUUGAAAACAUUAAAAAUGCAAGUGAGCAUUAAGAUUGAACGAUGGAAAAAGGUUAGUAAUUAGUUUAGGUAGUUAGCACUUAGCACCGACUUGGGUCACGAACAGUGGCUUUGACGGUGUAACCACGUUGGAGUAAAAACUUAACCAGCCAUGAGGCUAUGUAACCUGAUGCUCCUGUUACACACACCACCUUGCCUGUUUCACUCAUCUCUCUCUUGUUUCCUGGUGACUGUGAGGCUGAGUGAGGCUCUUAUGUUCCAAUUAUCGAAAAAUCCGGGCCGACAGUUUUGUCCUUUUCUGGUGUACCUUUCCAACGAGAAAAAACAACAUGGAACACGUAAAUAUAAAGGCUUUCAAGGGCAAACUACAAUUGAAUAUUAUGAUUUAUUAUCGUGUUUGAUUGUUGAAAAUAAUUUUAUUGAUAUAUAAUUUUAAAUAAAAAAAAUUAAAAAAUAUUAUAUUUUUAUAUAUAUAUAUGAUUAUUUAUUUUUAUUUUUUAAAAAAGUUUUUUUUUUUUUUUUUUUUUUUUUUUUUUUUUUUUUUUUUUUUUUUUUUUUUUUUUUUUUUUUUUUUUUUUUUUUUUUUUUUUUUUUUUUUUUUUUAUUAUUAUUAUUUUAUUUAUAAUUUAAUAUUAUUAUGAUUAAAAUAUUAAUAAUUUUAAUUAAUUUCCAAAUUUAAAAUAUUAAUUUUAUAAUAUGUAAUUAAAAACUAAAACUUUUUAUUAUAAAUAAUUUUAUUUUUNAAUAUAUACCAAGAGACAAAUAUAAGCAAAAGUUUUCUCUUUUAAUUAAUCAAUUUUUUUCAUUAAAAUUUAAAAAACGUAACAUUUAAUAAUUUAUUAUUAAAAUAUUAAUAUAUUUUUUAUUUUUUCUCUAUUUUUGUAUUUUUUAUUUUUAUUUAUACUUUCAUUAAAAAUUUAAUAUAUUAAUAAUUUAAAAAAGUAAACAUUAUUAUGAUUAAAAUAUUAAAAUAUUGAUUUUUUAUAAUUUAUAAUAAAAUUUUAACUUUUUUAUUUUAAAUUUUUUUUUCUUUUUUUCUUUCUCCUUUUCGAUGUGGCUGGUGUAAUGAAACGCUGAUCAUUCUCUUUUAAUAAUCAUUCUCUUGACAGCUUAAAUGCUAAUCAUGUUGCUGCCUGUUUCCUUUCAAUAAGAUUAAUAACCUCGUGUUUUCAAUGUUCUUUUGAGUUUUGCUAAUUCCUUUGUUCAAUAUUUUAUAUUUGAACAAUAUUAUCAAAGCUCUUAGAAUAUAUAUAAAUAUAUAUUUAUCUCUCUUUGACUUUGCAUUUAAAAAUCGGUUUUCAUGUUUUCUAGUUAUUCUUUCCACUUUCCAGGGAAGCUCAAAGAAAUUCUUAUGUUCUUGCAUAUCAAGAAAGAAUGGAUACCAUAUAUUGAAGACUUGAUGGUUCGAUUAUUAUGUUCACAGCUUGGGACUUGUAUUGAAAAUGGGAAAAUUUACUGUUCUUGGCCUUGUGUUGGCAGUUCUAUGCGUCAUAACAGGAGAAUGUAUUUGUACCGGUGAUUCCCAUUCGGCAAAUUGCUCCAAACCAGACCUAGAAGCUCUUUUUGACUUCGAAAGUGGCCUUAAUGAUCCUGAAAACAGGCUCUCCUCAUGGCAAGGAAGCAACCAUUAUCAGUGGAAUGGAAUUGGGCGCAACAAUAGCACCGGAGCUGUCAUCAUGAUUGAUCUUCAAAAUCCUUACCCUUUAAAUUCUGAAUCUUCAAGCAGGUAUGGUUUUUGGAACUUGAGUGGGGAUAUCAGUCCUUCUUUGCUAAAGCUCAAGUCCUUGCAAUAUUUGGAUUUGAGUUUAAACACCUUCAAUGACAUCUCAAUUCCUGAAUUCCUAGGAUCAUCCUAGAAUUUGCCAUAUCUGAACCUAUCAAAAGCUGGAUUUACUGGUGUAAUUCCAGCAAGUCUUGGAAAUCUUUCUAGCUUGCAGUUUCUUGAUGUUUCUUCUGAAUUUGGGAGCUUAAGCUCGGAUAGUCUUGAAUGGGUGGCUGGUCCUGUUUCUUUAAAACAUCUUGCUAUGAAUGAAGUUGACCUUUCCAUGGUAGGUUCGGGCUUGGUUGGGAUGUUGAGUAGGCUUUCAUUUCUGAAUGAGUUGCACCUUUCAGAAUGUCAGAUCUCUGGUUCCAUUUCAUCUUUCAACCCUGUAAACUUAACUUCCCUUUCUGUUCUAGACCUUAGUUUCAACUCCUUUAGUUCAGGGUUCCCUGACUGGGUAGUGAAUAUUAGUAGCCUUACUUAUGUUGAUUCAAGCUAUUGUGGUCUGGCUGGAAGAAUUCCACUUGGUUUCGGUGAACUACCAAAUUUGCAAUAUCUGAAUCUUGCUGGAAACUCUAAUCUGUCUGCUUGCUGUUAUCAACUUUUGAGGAGAAGUUGGAAGAAGAUAUAAGUUCUCCUUUUUUUUUAUUUGGAAAAAAAAAACUGCUGGUGUGUUUUUUGGAAAAAAAAAAAAAAAAGGAAGAAAAAGCUCCUAUUUGCAGCUUGUUUUUUAGAAAAAUAAGUUAAAUCAAAAUACACUUAAGUAAUUUUUUAUACUUUAUUUUCAUGAUUACAGGUUUCGAGGUUAGAUCUAUGCUCAAGUAUUUUUCAAAUGAUUGUAUAUAAGCUUCAGAUGAAAUGAAAAAGAUAUACCUUCAUUCAGUCGUCUAUUUCUAUUCUCUUAUUUCUUCUUCUCUGUUCUUAGCUUUCUCAAUUUUUCUUCACUUUUCUGAAACAUACAACAUGGAAUCAGAGCUUCUCCACCUAUGACCUUAUUGCUAAAUCCCAUUGUAUAUUCAGUUUUUUGGUCUGUGUGGAAUGUGGUUGAGGUUGGUGGAGAAUGCCUGUCUAACGGCAUUGCAAAUCCAACCCUAGUUCAAAUCAAGCAACACUAUGAAGAAGUCGCAAAGAGGUAUAAGGCACUCUCUUGUCUUCAAUUUGCAAUUUCAGACACCAUAGUUACCAGAACAAUGAAAGUCUGGGAUACUUUGAGAGAAGAAUUUUAGGGAAAUGAUGAACAAAAAUGAUGCAGAUUUUGAAUCUCUCAAGGGAAUUUGAGCUUCUGAAAAUGAAGGAUGGGGAAGGAAUACAAGUUUAUGCUAGUAAGGUCUUGAGGAUUGCUAAUUAACUAAGAUUUCUGGUUCUUUGUCUUCUUUCGUUUGGUGAUGUUUAUGCUGAACACGGGGUGAGGUCAGCAUGGUUUUGACUUUUUGAUUUUGAGAGAUUCUGAGUUCUCCCUUACUGAUCUGAUUGUCUGAAGUGAAGGGCAGGUUGGUAUGGUGAUAUGUGAUCGGUAAGCAUAGGAAACAAAUCUUGGUCUGGUUUCCUGGACUUGCUGAUGAUUCUGCACUCUCCUCCUUAGAAUAGGGUAUUUUGACUGGGUUUGGGGGUCAUUGUUAAUGGAUCCCUCUGACGCUAGUGUAGUGAUUUGUUUUGUGGUCACUAAUAGAUUUUUGGAACCAAGAGGCUGUUUAGGGAACAGAGUUACCUUUUCCCUUUGCUCUUGCUGUUAUGUUACCUUUUUGAUGGGUUAUUCCCAGAAGGAAUGGAAAUUCAUACUAAUCUUAAAAAAAAAACUCUUUACAAGAGUAAUCAAACUAUUAAUUGCAAUUAGGUCUUUAAAGGACUAACCAGAUUUAGGAAAAGCAUCCACCAAACCAAAAUGAACCCCAUUUAGCCUAAUAUAAAUGGAAGAAAAUACAUUCAAAAGUCCUAAAGCUGAAUAAAUAAUAAUUGCAAUAUCUUUGGACUUGUAGCCUGGAUGCAUAAAUCUACUCGCCCACCAACUGGAUCAAGAAACCAGAAAAUAUGAAGGCGAGGAACCAGAUAUGUGUAUUAUGUAUACAUCAUUUAUUCACAAUACAAGAGGCGAUCAAGGAGGCAGCAGAUUCACAUCGCUUGUACUUGAUGAUAUGUAAGCACCAAAAGCUCCUAAGCAUUUUGAAAGGUACAAUCGAAAGAAAUUAGAGAUGGUACAUGACAGUGAUAAGAAUUUAGUACAUUUACACACCUUUGAUUUCUGACAAAUAACGGGAUCUGAGAACCAGGUCUCAUCAAUUACCCCAUUAUCAGCAAGAGGUUUUCCAGUGAACACAACUGCUCCAAGAGAGGACGUUAUAAUCACUCUUUUGAUGGAUGGAACUUUUAACACAUGAUCUAAAAACAUUAAGUGUUCCCUUCACUGCGGGAUCAAUCAUUUCAGCCUGGAAAUAGAAGUGGACCAUUCACCAAAUUAUCAGGAUUCUAGUUUGCCAUUGCUUAAGUAAAAAAUAUCAACAAGUAAAGCCAAAUACUGCUGCCAAUCAGAAUCAAAAUCCAAAUGAUCUACUGUCCUUGUUUCAUGCAUUUAAAAGCCAGCCAAAAUAUUGCUAAUUACAGCAAAGUUUUGUAAGCAAAGCCAGAGCAAGUUUAGAACAUGAACAGUAAGUACAAAGUGCCAGAUGAAUGUAUACUAAUCAGUGUUAGUAGCAAUUAUAAUUCUCAUAACCAAUUGCAAGCAUUUUCAAGCUUAACUUGAAGUUCUACAGGCAAGACAAAGGAGAAUCACCUGCGGGUUCUCAACAUUGUAAUAACAAGGAGAUGCUGUAUGGAAAACACCUAUGCAUCCAUCAACCACGGAAUCAAAAGCUCCCUCCUCCAGAAGCUCUGCCUUGAACAAAUGAAGCCUUUCAUUUGCUCCAUCAAGUGCAAGCAAGUGUUCCGUUUUCUUCAGAUCAUACAUGCACAGAAAAAGUUGAAUGGAGAAAAAGAUUUACAUUAUAAACAUAGUUUUGUAUUAAAACCAAUUGUCGUAAAUUUUUUAUAGUUUGGAAGAGUUCACCAAAUCUGACCGCUGGUUUAUGGGUGAUUAGUAUCAGAAAAAAUGAACUCAUUUCUAUUUCAUCAAGAAAAGACAUAAUGCUUCAGCUUUAAAUAAUUUAUUUUAGGGCAAAAAGUUGGAAACAAAACCAGCUAGGGAAUCCAUGACUUUGCAUAAAGUUUUUUUUUUUUUUGGUUGCAUCUUAUCUACUUAUCUUAUUUUAUGAAGCUCCAAAGGAUAUCCUAUUUUCUUGCGUAUCAAGAAAAUGCAGACUAUAUAUUGAAGAGGUGGUGGUUUCCUUAUUAUGCUCACAUCUUGAGUUCAAUAACAAUUGUUCCUUGUGUUCGAAAUGGAAAAAUCCAGGGUUCUUGGCCUUAUGUUGGCAGCUCUAUGUGUCAUAACAAGUGAAUAUUCUUGUAAUGGCUCUGAAUCCGACCAUGAAGCUCCCUUUGACCUCGGUAAUGACCUCAAUGAUCCUGAAAACAGGUUCUUAUGAUGGCAAGGAAGCAACUCCUGUCAGUGGCAAGGAAUUGAUUGCAACAAUAAUAAUGGAGCUGUGAUCGUGAUUGAUCCUCGCAAGUGGUACCCUAUAAAUUCUGAAUCUUCAAGCAGGUAUGGUUUUUGGAACUUGACUGGGGAUAUCAGUCCUUCAUUACUAAAACUCAGGUACUUGGAAUACUUAGAUUCAAGUCUGGACACCUUCAACGAGCUGGACUAUAUGGAGUUGCUUCACCAAGUCUUGGUAGUCUUUCUAGCUUGCAGCUUCAUGAUGUCCCUGUGAAUUUUGGAGCUUAAGCUUGGAUGGUCUUUCAUGGGUGGCUAGCUGGCCUUGUUUCUUUAGAACAUCUCGAUGUGAAUGAAGUUGACCUUUCCAUGGUAGGUUCUGGCUUGUUGGUUUGGAUAUGGAAUAAACUGUUUGAAAAAAUUGGCUGGUGCCUGCCAAAAUCCUCAAAUGAAGGAUUAUACCACACUUCAUGGUGCCUCUGGGGAACGCUAUACAGUACCAAAAAGGAGAAUUACCUGUGGAUCCUUCACAUUGUGAUAAAAAGGGAGAAGCCGUAUUGAAAACAAUCCUUCCAUCAACCACAGCAUCAAAAGAACUCACAUCAAGUAGGUCUGCGUUGGAAAAACUGAAGCUUUUCAUUUGCUCCAUCAAGUGCAAGCUAGUGUUCCGUUUUCUGUGGAUCAUGCACGGAAUAAGUUGUAUGGAAGACAUACUUAUCUGUAAGACAUUUUUGUAUUAAAUGGGUAUUAUGUUUUUUAAACUUUGGAUAGAGUUCGAUAUGAGCCAAAGCACACAACUUUCCUCUUGGACAUUCCUUAAAGUUUCUACAUAUGCUUACAUCAUGUCUUCAAGUUCCAACCUAAUCUGGUGAUACAAAAUGAAGGGGGGCAGGGCAACCUUCUCCAAGGACUAAAAGUCAAUAGGCAAUCAACAUGAACAUGUUUAUUGUAUGUAUCCCAACUUACAGCAAACUAUUACAAGCUUACAACUAAACAUUACAAGCACUUGAACAGCUGCCAACACAGCAGAUAUGACAUUCAGAAUGAUGAACUAAAGCUAAAAAGGGGUGCACCCAGUUAUUGAUAGUAAUGUCCUAGACUAGCUGACACAUGCCAUGAUUCAGACGCUAAAGAAGUUCUUCUCCUUCAAGCUUUCAACUGUAUCCUUUAUACUCACCUCCGUAGGGGUAAAAUUAACACCUAGACUUUUCGCUCUGUCCUUGGACACCUGAAACACUGGCAUACCUACCUUCUCAUCCGCACAUCUGCCAAAAUUAUUAGCUCCUGUUAAUAACACUUAAAAAUGGGGGUCAGAGUUGCAAAAAUGCUUCCCUGACACCAACAUGGGGGCUACUGAUAUAGAAAUAAAUCAGACAAGGUAAUAGAGUCUGUAAAUCAGAUCUUAAUUACUGAGAUUGGCCUCCAAAAACAGAAAAAAGAACAAAAGCAAAAGCAAAAAGGUUUAAAACUUUCCUGUUGAGCACAAAUAGAUAGGACAUGUCCUCAUUUAAGAACCUAAAUGUCUUUAGAUGUAGCCUUUCACAAAAAAAAAAGGGGUCUUUAGAUCUAGAAAACAGGCAUUGGAUGACAAUGCAAAAUCCAUGGAACAAAAUGAAUCAAAGUACAAUUUGUAAUGCACAAAAGGAAGAGUUGAUACAUAAUUGAAACUUAGUUUCUUCUGCCGAUGAUCAGAAGCUUACAUGCAACAAAUUCAUAUCCUUGAAACUUACCUUUCAGGAAGUCUAAGAGCAGGGUAAAGCUCACGUAAAGCCUGCACAAUUUCUGAACAGUGCAUAACUCUCUCAACUAAAAGGUAUCUUCCACAAGCUGAAGAAUUCUCAUAUGCUAGUAUAUGUGCGUUUGCAACAUCUCUAACGUCUAUCAAUC